rnacentral:lncRNA from 1 species
CAUGUAUACUCACUCAGUAGUAUAUCUUGAAGACUGGCCAAUCAACAGUUUUAAGCAUAAGUUUAGCUCAGUGACCCAGCUAUAGUAAAGUGCAACGACGUAUUUAUUUCGGAAACACUUUCGCUUUCGAGCAGUUUAAUCGAGUGCAGACUUUCUCUCAACCUGCGAUCAUGCGCAACCCCUAUUUGACAAGAACCGACAACUGACCAGCCUCCUGGAGACACGUUGCCAUGGUGAUUGGAAAACCUCACCUGUGGUCAGCAGGACGCCUCCCCUGAAGGCUUAUUUCCUACAGGACCCAUUAGGUACCAUCAGUGUAGGAAACGGGCCACUGUGUUUUUGUGGACAGCCAGAUUUUCUCUCAACUCUGCGAUCAUGCGCGUGACUCCCGUGUGACAAGAACCGAGAACUGACCAGCUGCCCGGACACGCGUUGCCAUGGUGAUUGGAAACCCUGCAUGACGUCAAUAGGACGCCUCCCUCUGAGGUCUUAUAGCCGAGUGCUGCUGGUUGAGGUGCGGGCAUGGUUGUGUGACAACUACAGGUAUUCAUAAUUAGUAGAGAGAGAAAGAGAAGUAGUGUGUAUGGAUAUUACAGUGCUAGAUACACCAAAGUACACUACCUACAGUAAGUCACUCAUCUAAACAUCAGAGAAACACACUAUGGGCAAUUUAGAGGCACCCAUAGACUUGAAAAGAAUGUCUUUGGACUGUGGGAGGAAACCUGUAGGAAGUUUUUUUUAUUACAAUCAGAACUUAGAACUCUGAUUAAAACUGGCAUGCUUGACAUCAUAAUC